rnacentral:ncRNA from 1 species
AAUCGUGACGGCGAUGGAUCUCCGCCGGGGCACCUGCCCGAACCGCCUCACCCGAGGCUGAUGGCUCCUUUCCCACC